CCCUAGCCCCGAUUGGAGUGUAAAUCCUGGCUUUGUGAGAUUGCUUCGCAAGCUCGCAAUGACAGAUUGAAGCGGAAAGCGGGAACAUGG
rnacentral:sRNA from 1 species